AUGCACGCUGGCGGCGUGCCUAAUACAUUCCAGUCGAGCGAACAGACGAGGAGCUUGCUCCUCUGAUGUUAGCGGCGGACGGGUGAGUAACACGUGGAUAACCUACCUAUAAGACUGGGAUAACUUCGGGAAACCGGAGCUAAUACCGGAUAACAUGUUGAACCGCAUGGUUCAACAGUGAAAGACGGUCUUGCUGUCACUUAUAGAUGGAUCCGCGCCGCAUUAGCUAGUUGGUAAGGUAACGGCUUACCAAGGCAACGAUGCGUAGCCGACCUGAGAGGGUGAUCGGCCACACUGGAACUGAGACACGGUCCAGACUCCUACGGGAGGCAGCAGUAGGGAAUCUUCCGCAAUGGGCGAAAGCCUGACGGAGCAACGCCGCGUGAGUGAAGAAGGUCUUCGGAUCGUAAAACUCUGUUAUUAGGGAAGAACAAAUGUGUAAGUAACUAUGCACGUCUUGACGGUACCUAAUCAGAAAGCCACGGCUAACUACGUG
rnacentral:rRNA from 1 species